rnacentral:rRNA from 1 species
GGAUUGCCCCAGUAACGGCGAGUGAAGCGGCAACAGCUCAAAUUUGAAAUCUGGCCCCUCCCACGGGGGGGCCCGAGUUGUAAUUUGCAGAGGAUGCUUCUGGCGAGGUGCCUUCCGAGUUCCCUGGAACGGGACGCCACAGAGGGUGAGAGCCCCGUCUGGUCGGACACCGAGCCUCUGUGAAGCUCCUUCGACGAGUCGAGUAGUUUGGGAAUGCUGCUCUAAACGGGAGGUAUAUGUCUUCUAAAGCUAAAUACCGGCCAGAGACCGAUAGCGCACAAGUAGAGUGAUCGAAAGAUGAAAAGCACUUUGAAAAGAGGGUUAAACAGUACGUGAAAUUGUUGAAAGGGAAGCGCUCACGACCAGACCUGGUCCCGGCGAAUCACCCGGCGUUCUCGCCGGUGCACUUCGUCGGGCUUCCAGGCCAGCAUCGGUCCGCGCCGGGGGACAAAGGCGGCGGGAACGUGGCUCCCCAGGGAGUGUUAUAGCCCGCCGCGCAAUGCCCCGGGGGCGGACCGAGGACCGCGCGUCACCGCAAGGAUGCUGGCGUAAUGGUCGUCAGCGACCCGUCUUGAAACACGGACCAAGGAGUCGUCCUCGUAUGCGAGUGUUGGGGCGUCAAACCCCCCGCGCGUAAUGAAAGUGAACGGCAGGUGAGAGCCCUCGCGGGCGCAUCAUCGACCGAUCCUGAUGUUCUCGGAUGGAUUUGAGUAGGAGCAUACGGGGCCGGACCCGAAAGAAGGUGAACUAUGCCUGUGUAGGGUGAAGCCAGAGGAAACUCUGGUGGAGGCUCGCAGCGGUUCUGACGUGCAAAUCGAUCGUCAAACAUGGGCAUGGGGGCGAAAGACUAAUCGAACCUUCU